rnacentral:tRNA from 1 species
UGCGGAGUUCGUAUAGUGGUAAUACCUCAGCCUUCCAAGCUGAAGCUAGGGGUUCGAUUCCCCUACUCCGCUAA